rnacentral:snRNA from 1 species
GUGUUUGCUUUGGUGGCACAUAUACUAAAAUUGGAACGAUACAAAGAAGAUUAGCAUGGCCCCUGCGCAAGGAUGACACGCAAAGUCAUGAAGAAGUCCAUAAAAAA